CGCACCACAGGACAUCGGCCAGCUAGCGAGUGAUCACCACAUCGGAUUGUGUCGGUGUGAACGUUAAGAAGACGCGAGAUGGUUCGGCUGGACGCGUUUUUAUUUCCCUGCUCCAGAGAUCCACCGGCACGAGAGCUGCACCGCGUAGGGAGGUGAGAUAACACGUGGGGGAGCAAAACAACGAAGACAGCGGCAUGGACCGAUAAGAAGAGACUCAACCCACAUUGUAAUAUUUUUUUCUGUGUAAGAAUAUGAAAGACUGGGUGAGGAAAGAGGUAGAGUGUCAGACUUCGUGAACUGGCACAACUGCAUGUUGUUGUCAGGGAGAGAUAGUUUGGCCCAGAGCUCUGUAACGAUCUCCUUUUCCUAAUGAUAUAUUGCUGUUAGCUUUAAUAAAUGCUGGGAUUUGAACUUUGAA